rnacentral:rRNA from 1 species
AUUGAACGCUGGCGGCAGGCUUAACACAUGCAAGUCGAGCGAGCGGCGGACGGGUGAGUAAUGUCUGGGAAACUGCCUGAUGGAGGGGGAUAACUACUGGAAACGGUAGCUAAUACCGCAUACCCUCAGAUGUGCCCAGAUGGGAGUAGCUAGUAGGUGGGGUAAUGGCUCACCACGGCGACGAUCCCUAGCUGGUCUGAGAGGAGGACCAGCCACACUGGAACUGAGAAACGGUCGAGACUCCGACGGGAGGCAGCAGUGGGGAAUAUUGCACAAUGGGCGCAAGCCUGAUGCAGCCAUGCCGCGUGUGGGAAGAAGGCCUUCGGGUUGUAAAGUACUUUCAGCGAGGAGGCGUUACUCGCAGAAGAAGCACCGGCUAACUCCGUGCCAGCAGCCGCGGUAAUAC